rnacentral:lncRNA from 1 species
UUCCUCUUUAAAGAAUAUUUAGAUUAACUUGUAACUUUCUUAUUGUCGAACUUGUGUACAGAACCUACAACAGAGUGAAUAAAAAGAUGUAUUCAUAGUUGGGGUCCUAGUGAACCGGAAUGGAUCGCUUCAUCGAUAGUAACUUAGUUGAAAGCACGUUGUAAGUCACUCUAGAUAAGGGCAUCUGCCAAAUGCCGUAAAUGUAAAUGUUAUAUGUUAACACCCUUGUAAUUCUCACAUUAGUUCCUAUCCCGAAACUGAGAUAAACAAGGACUGAGACAGAGACGUGAGACUGGGGAGUUUUUACUCCUGCAAAUAUUUCUUUUAACUGUGGAAAAGAAAAAUGAAAAUUAGAUCCUUUGCUGCAUAGAUGUAGUUGGAGUUACCCCCCCCCCCCCCCCCCCACCCACCCCCUCCAAUAGCAUGUCCUCCUGCGGACCUAGAGUGUUUGAGCGAAUUGCAGCUUUCUGCCUUGUCUUACCAGCGUGCCGGCCUGGCACCCCACCGCGGACAACUCAACAUACAGAGUCCAAGAGAACCACCUCAUGAGAUGGUAUCGAGUUCCCAACCUACUGAUGUGACUGCUCAACAAUUCUCCUCCACCAAUCAGUGAGCAGCAUUUUUUCUCAGCAUGAGACCGCAAUAGAACGAGAGUCAGUCUCUUAUCAGCUGCCAUCAGUGCCAUCGACCUAUCUGCCUGCUCUUCCACCUACCCAGAUACCAGUGAUAAUGAAGAUGAAUAUGAAGAUGACAGAAGACAUUCCUUCAGGGCUCCAGGGAACACGUCACUCAGAUGGCUCUCUACUACAUCCUGCAUGGCUAUACAUCCCUCCACCAGAUUGUGAAAUU